UUCCUGCGAAUAUCGACAACC
rnacentral:piRNA from 1 species